rnacentral:rRNA from 1 species
AUUGAACGCUGGCGGCAUGCUUUACACAUGCAAGUCGAACGGUAACAGGUUAAGCUGACGAGUGGCGAACGGGUGAGUAAUGCAUCGGAACGUGCCCGAUCGUGGGGGAUAACGCAGCGAAAGCUGCGCUAAUACCGCAUACGAUCUGAGGAUGAAAGCGGGGGACCGUAAGGCCUCGCGCGAUCGGAGCGGCCGAUGUCAGAUUAGGUAGUUGGUGGGGUAAAGGCUCACCAAGCCAACGAUCUGUAGCUGGUCUGAGAGGACGACCAGCCACACUGGGGCUGGGACACGGGACAGACUCCUACGGGGGGCAGCAGUGGGGAAUUUUGGAUAAUGGGCGAAAGCCUGAUCCAGCGAUGCCGCGUGCAGGAAGAAGGCCGGCGGGUUGUAGCCUGCUUUUGUACGGAGCGAAAAGGUUCUCUCUAAUACAGGGGGCUCAUGACGGUACCGUAAGAAUAAGCACCGGCUAACUACGUGCCAGCAGCCGCAGUAA